AUUGAACGCUGGCGGCAGGCCUAACACAUGCAAGUCGAACGAGUGGCGGACGGGUGAGUAAUGUCUGGGAAAGUGCCCGAGGGAGGGGGAUAAGUACUGGAAACGGUAGCUAAUACCGCAUACCAUCGGAUGUGCCGAGAUGGGAUUAGCUAGUGGUUGGGGUAAUGGCUCACCUAGGCGACGAUCCCUAGUUGGUCUGAGAGGAUGACCAGCCACACUGGAACUGAGACACGGUCCAGACUCCUACGGGAGGCAGCAGUGGGGAAUAUUGCACAAUGGGCGCAAGCCUGAUGCAGCCAUGCCGCGUGUGUGAAGAAGGUCUUCGGAUUGUAAAGCACUUUCAGCUAGGAGGCGUUACCCGCAGAAGAAGCACCGGCUAACUCCGUGCCAGCAGCCGCGGUAAUUC
rnacentral:rRNA from 1 species